UCCUACGGGGGGCAGCAGUGGGGGAUAUUGCACAAUGGGGGGAACCCUGAUGCAGCGACGCCGCGUGGGUGAAGGAGCGUUUCGGCGCGUAAAGCCCUAUCGGCAGGGAAGAAGAUGACGGUACCUGACCAAGAAGCCCCGGCUAACUACGUGCCAGCAGCCGCGGUAAUACGUAGGGGGCGAGCGUUAUCCGGAAUUACUGGGUGUAAAGGGGGCGUAGACGGCGAGGUAAGCCUGAAGUGGAAGCCCGCGGCCCAACCGCGGAACUGCUUUGGGAACUGUUUUGCUGGAGUAUGGGAGGGGGA
rnacentral:rRNA from 1 species